GAUUCUCCAACCGUCUUCCAACCUCUAUGAGUCCUCGAGCUCUGUAAGACAGGGAAAAGAGAGGGGUAAGCAUUUACAUGCUUAGUAAGCCCUAAUAACUGGGAAGUAAACUUACCAAUUAAUUAGCAUACAUCCAUAUUAGGUAAUAAAACCAACAAGAAUGAAAUAGUUUCCCUAUCAUAUGCACUCAAUCAACAAGUUAGUCCAUAACAAUACACCAUGUAAUUUGUCUUAAAUGAGCUCAUUAUCCAAGAAUUUCAUUUUUACAUCUCAUGUUAAUCCCAUGGAGUUUCUCGGAAAUCUCGAUGGAUUAUCCAUUUACCGUCAAGUCAUAAGAGCGAUCAUCUCAAGUACGCACUCCCGUGAACCUCACAUCAUAUAGCGGGAUUACCAGUCCAGGCUAAAUCCUCCGUAAUAUCAACUCAUAGGGUGAUGUCGGGAUUACUAGUCCAGGCUAAAUCCCUUGUAGUGACAAACACCCGUAAUGAGCUCAGAUCUGAAUUACCACUCCAUUCUAAAUUCAGACCCUAAUCGAAUUACCCAUCCGGGCUAAAUCCACAAUGCACACUGUAAGGACCCAAAUUUGCCCGGGCCCGAAGAAAAAACCAAAAUUAAAAAAAUCAUAAUUAAGUGUCCACAAGUACAAAUUACAUAACCCAGGUCUAAACCCAAAACAUUACAAACCCAAACCCAAAUUUUAGACCCAAAACCAAAUUAACACCAAUCCCAUGUCCCUAAUAUAAACCGAUACCCAGAAUGGGUCCAAACGGCCCAAGUACCAAACCAACUUCAGCAAACCCUAGGUCAUCCCCUUUCUCCUACGCCGCAAUAGCAACCCCAGCCUUCGUACUAGUGACCACGCCCUUGCACUGUACGACGCACCAGCACCAGUGCGCACCCCACACCUGUAGAAACAGACAAAGCAAUAACAGCACAUACCCAAUGCGAAAGCAAAGAAAUAAUUUUGUAUUUUUAUUUAUUUAUUUCUACCAUUUUCGGCUAUAAAGCCAGAAUUUUAAUCUUUGUAAAAGGAGGCACACUUACGCAUACAGAUAUUAAAUACAAAGAAAGAAAGAGAGGAAGGUGAUUUUCCUUUCUUUGAAUCUCCGAAUUUGUUGCGUUUUUUUCUUGAUCUAUUCCUUUCGACUUCUUUUUUUUUCAUUUUUCGCAUCUAAAACAAUAAAAAGAAAAGAAGAGAGUGAAACGAAACCUUACCUCGCAAAUCCGCUGUUGGUUCUUCCUUGCCUCGUCGAAGUCGAAGGUGGAGGAGGAAUCUUGAGGCCGAAAAUCCUCUUCAAAAGGCGAAUACGCCUGUGGUUGGAGACGAUGGGGGUGAGAGCCAAAUGAUUUGGCUAAAGGUCGGCUAAAAAAUAAACGAAAUGGGGACUAAGGUUUUGAAAUGGCUGAAUAGCCAAAUUUAGGGGUUUUUAAAGGUCUGAAUACGGUGUCGUUUUGGGCCUGAUUCAGUGGCUCCAAAAACGGCGUCAUUUAGAUGUUAGAGCUCCGCGCGUCGACCCGUCCCAGGACCCGGAUCCACGCCUCUAUGCCUCGAAUGGGGAAUUUGCAAUAUCAAUCCUUCCCUUUGUGCGCGCAUUCCAUUGGAAUCCUUAUGCGAUUUUAAUAUUUAAACUUUUUACUUUUAAUUCCAUUUUGAUUUCAAUUUAGUCCUUCCUUUAAUCUCAGCAGUGUAUUUUAUUUAUUAAAUAUCCUUUAGUUUAUUUUUCAUUUUAAUUGAAUCCUUUUAAUUUGUAUAGUUCAUUAUUUUUUUUAAUUCGUUUAGCAUUUAUUUUAUUUUCAUAUACAUUUUAAAUUACUUUGAUAAUUCACUCUUUUUUAUUAUAAAACUAUUAUCUUAAAAUUACUUUGUAUAUCAUGUUGUUGUCAAAAUUUUGUAUAAUAUUUAAUUUAUAUUUAAUUUAUAUUAAUACAUGUAUGAUUUAUGAUAAAUGUAGUUUUAUUUUGUACACAUUAUUAGUUCUAUGUUAUUUUACACAUGUAAUUUCUUUUAAAUCUAUUUAUUUGUAUUUCUUUUUAAAUUUAUUACGCAUAUAAUUUAUUCUCUAAAAACAUGUUUUAUUAUUUCCUUGUUAUUUAAAAUUAUUUCAUGUAUAUAUUGUUUUAUCAUAUAUUGGUUUGCUAUUCUGUCAUGUAUAUUGUUUAUUCUUUAUCUUUAUUAUAUCUUCAUUAUAUAUUAUUUACAUUGAUUUUCAUUAUUGUAUAUAUAUCACCACCCUUAAGUAGAUAUUUUGUUUUUAAAAAUAUUUUUGGUAUGAUAUUUGCUCCAAAUCUCUUCUUUCACAAUGUUUAUUUCGAUAUUAUUUAUUAGUUUUAUUUUUAUAUAUGCAAAUCAUUUCAAACCCAGAUGUUGCUUAUUUGUAAUUUUUCAUAUUAAAUAGUUUUCAAAUUGUUUCCAUAUUGUUUUGUAUAUUGUUUAUAUUGUUUUGUUAUAAAUUUAUUUUCAUACUUAUAUAUACGUAAAUGUUUCCUAUAUUAUCAGUUUUGAAUAGUUGAACAUUAUGUUUUUAUAUGCAUUGUUGAUCUUCUAUUAUUUCAUGUAUUUUCCUUUAAAUCUAUUUCAUUGUACAUUUCCUUUUAAAUCAUUUUUUAUACAUAUAUAUACAUAUAUAAAUUAAAAAAACCUAUUAUGUGUAUAGUUCAUUACACAAAAACAUAUUUUAUUACAUAUUCUUUUGUUAUUUAAGAACCUGAUACGAGAUCAAAGGCCCGACAAAUGCGUUCCAAACUAAAUGGGACCAUCCAGGAGUUUGUUAGUAAGGCCUUAGAUGCGUACACAAAAGAAAAGGAAAAUCAAGAUUUCAAAUAUUGGGAAUCUUGGUCCAAGACACCAAAUCUUGCAGCCAAAGCGCAUUGGAUCUCCAUUACGAGCAUCAACGAUUCAAUUUCGGUAGGAGAUGGAUCACAAGCCCAAAUUCUUGAGGGCAAGGCCCAAUAAGAAGAUUCCAAGCCCAAUCAAGAAAUCCACCCAUACUUAGUUGAAAAUCAGGCCAAAUUUCAAAGUGGCCCAAGUUGUAAAGUUUUAUUUUUAUUUAUUUAUUUUAUUUAGUUUAAAUUUUUAUAUUCAGUCCAAGAGUCCCAAAUAAAAGACCCUUGGCCGAAUUUCCAUAUUAAAAUAAUUAGGAGUUUUUUUUAGUUUUAGUUUUAGUGUUCUAAUUAAAUUAGGAAAACAUUUGAAAGGCCUAUUUAUAUGGCUUGGCUAGCCACCCUACAUUACAUUACAAUUACAUUGAAAAUUUCAGAUUUUAUUUGAGUGAAAAUUCUCUUUGAGUUCUUCAAGGAUUUUCUCUUGAGUUUUCUUUAGAAGUUGUUUUAACAAUCUUUUUGAUUGUGGGAGCCAUCUUCAACCUUCUUCUUGCCAUUGAUAUUCUUUGGAGGGGAGAUUAGAGCCGUUUGAAGGGAGUUGUGAGAUCUUUCGGGAUUUCAAGGCUUCUUAGGACUUAUCUUUUAAUUUCUUACUGUCAAUUCUUUCUUUAUUUCUGCUUGUGCCGAAUCUUUAUCUAAUUUAUUUUCUGUUCUUAUUGUGUUUUCAGCUUUUUUCUAUCUUAAGGAAUUAGCCCAAAAAUCUCCAAUUUUUAGGGUUCUUGCCGAUUCAUCCAUACUCUUUUUGGGAGAAAUUAGAUUGCCGAAAUUUGGGGAAAACUAUCUGGGUGUUCAAUUGGGCAGAAUCGCAAUCUCUUCUAGGGUUUCAAGAUUCCUUAUUAACACUUAUUUCUAUUCUCAAUUUGAUUCUUUGCUGAUUUGGGGAUUUUAUUUCAGAUCUGAAAAUUCAAAAAUCUAAUCUUUUAAUUUUCUGUUUCGUUUCAGAUCUAAUUGUUUAGGGUUUUCGUAGGAGUUUCCCGUGACUUGACAACUCGAUCUUGGUCCGCGCGCAACCCCGUAUCAUUUGGUAUCAGAUUUUGGGCGUUUUGGGUGUUCUUGGUUGAUUUCUAAACUGAUCUCUAUUUUUAAAAUUACAAACAGCAGUUUUACCUAGAAAAAUUUUCGAAAAAAAUUCAUUUGAGUGGGUAAACGUUUUCUGAUUGAUCUGAAAUUUUACAUACAUAUUUUUGGCACUGUUAUUGAAUAUAAAAAAAUAUUUCCCGCAAAAAAAUAAGUCGAAAAAGUCAAAAAAUUGAAAAAGACGAAAUCCAAUAAAAAGAUUAAAAAAAUUUUCAGCGGGUUGAAUUUGGUGCCCAAAUUUUCCAGAUCAAAAAUUCAAUAUUUGAAGACAUUCCAGAUUUAAUUUUGUGAUUUUUGUAGAUCGGGAACACCUCGAACGAAGUUGUCAAGUUACUCCGCAGUUUUUCGGGUUUUCUGUUUUCAGCAAUUUCUAUUGAUUCUUAGCUGUAGGUUUUCAUUUGUUUCCCUUUAUUCUUCCUUUACGUUAUCUAACACCUUCUUGUUUCUUGUGUUAGUAGGAUUUAAACGUGUGCACAACUUCUUCCUCGGUGCAACACGAAUCAAUUGGUGUCUCGUCAGUUUUUGGCAUCCUAGUGCAAAUUAGGAUUCUUUGGUAGUUUGGUUCAGACUCUCUAAUUGGUUGAUAUAAACUCUGAUAAAGAACUCACAAGAUUGAAUUCGACCUCAUUGAGAAUUUGAUUUUUUCUUUUUGAGUGAUUAACGGUGAGGUUUGAUAACUUUUAUUUUUGAGUGUUGAGUGUUUUGCAGGUUUUAAAAAAAAAUGUCUACAGGUGAUAAUAAUAGUGACAUAUUUAAAAAAUUCCAACAACAGUUGGAUGAACAGGCUGCUGCUCUUCGAGCUUUGACUGCUACCAUUAAUGAGGUGCGAUUGAAUCAAGAACCUCAUCCAAUCAAAGAAGAUAGGGAUAACCAACCCCAAAGGCGCGGCCCUCGACGUGUCACUAGAAUGGAUGAUAAUUUUCAUGAUCGUGGGCAACCUUCUUUGGCAAAACCGAAAUUCACAAUUCCCCAAUUUCGUGGUAAGAAUGAUCCUGACGCUUAUUGUGAAUGGGAAUCUAAGAUUGAACUUAUGUUUCGGUAUUAUAAAUGUCCGGAUGAUGAAAAGGUAGCGUUAGCAACACUGGAAUUUUCUGAUUAUGCAUUAAGUUGGUGGACUCAACUUGGGGUAAACCGCCAUCGGAAUUAUGAAGGUGAGAUUUCGACAUGGGAUGAGUUGAAACAGAUUAUGCGUAAAAGGUUUAUUCCACCUCACUACUAUAGAGAAAUUAAAACAAAGCUGAGAAGACUUAUCCAAGGUAGUAGGACGGUGGAUGAAUAUUUUAAAGAGAUGGAGAUGCUCAUUCAGAGAGCUAACAUGGAGGAGGAUGAAGAAACAACUAUGGUUCGAUUCAUUGAUGGUUUGAACAGGCCGAUAGCUAAUACAUUGAGGCUACAAACUUAUAUUGAUUUGGAAGAAGCAGUUCAUAAAGCCAUUGAGAUCGAGCAACAAUUAAAGGAACAAAGGUUUGGGUCAUUCUCUACUUCACAAUAUUACCGAGGUAACAAUUUCAAUUCUGAUUUUAAGAGUUCAAAAUCACCUUUUGUUACUAACAAGUCUUCUUUGAGUAAUGGAAGUAAACAAUCAGAUUGGAAAAAAGGGGCUCCUGCAAAAACGCAAACACCGUCUAAGCAGCCCAAUUUAAGUGAUUCGAGUGCGAAGAGGACUCGUGAGAUUGAAUGCUUUAAGUGCAAAGGGCGUGUUCAUUACAGUAGAGAAUGCCCUAACACGAGAUUACUUCUUCUAAAAGAUAACGGUGAGUACACUUCCGACUCUGAUAAUACAGAUCCAGAUAUGCCAGAACUUGUGGAUGACAGUGAUAAUGGCGACGAGUUGGUCAAACCACCAACGGAAGGGGACUUUGCUAAUUUUCAAUGCCUUGUAGUUCGUCGAACCCUUAACAUUCAGAUGAAAGAUGAUGAGAGUCAAAGGACCAAUAUUUUCCAUUCUCGGUGUUUUAUUAAAGGUAACUUAUGUUCACUCAUUAUUGAUCGUGGGAGUUGAUCGAAUGUAGUGAGUAGUUAUUUGGUGGAUUCUUUAAAGUUGCCUUGUACCAAACACCCUAAGCCAUAUCACCUUCAGUGGCUUAAUGAAUGUUCCGAAGUUAAAGUUACGAAACAGUCCUUGGUCACUUUUAAACUCGGCAAUUAUGAGGAUGACAUAUGGUGUGAUGUAGUCCCCAUGCAUGCGGCACACUUGCUCCUUGGACGACCUUGGCAAUUUGAUCGCGAUGUUACACACCAAGGUAAACUUAAUCGAUACUCCAUUGUAUUUAAAGGCAAGAAAUUCACUUUUGCUCCUUUAAAUCCUACUGAUGUAUAUAAAGAUCAAUUGAGGAUGAUAAAAUUUUGUGAGGGGGUAAUGGAGAAAGAGCAAGUACAAAAGACAGAGAGAAAAGAGGCUAAUAGUAGUGGAAAAAGUCAAAAUUUAAAAAGCCCAAAGGUGAGUGAAUCCUUUAGUGGUAAAAUGAGCGGAAAAAAUCUUUUGGCAACAAAAAAAGAUGUGAAGAGAGCCCUACUUAAUAAACAGCCUUGUAUCCUUGUGAGGUUUAGGCAAAAUUAUUUAUCUUUAUCUAACAUUAACGAAAAUUUGCCUAGUGUGUUUCAAUCUCUUUUGCAGGAUUAUGAGGAUGUUUUUAGUGAGGCCCCUAAAGGUUUACCACCUUUACGAGGGAUAGAACAUCAAAUUGACUUAGUACCCGGAGCUUCAAUCCCAAAUCGACCAGCCUAUAGAUGCAAUCCCGAUGAGACAAAGGAAUUGCAAAGGCAAGUGGAGGAAUUACUAGACAAAGGGUACAUUCGUGAGAGCCUAAGUCCUUGUGCUGUUCCUGUCUUAUUGGUGCCAAAGAAAGAUGGUACGUUUCGUAUGUGUGUUGAUUGUCGCCCAAUCAACAAGAUAACGGUAAAGUAUCGACACCCAAUCCCUAGACUUGAUGAUAUGCUUGAUGAAUUACAUGAUUCAAUAAUAUUUACAAAAAUUGAUUUAAAAAGCGGUUAUCAUCAAAUUCGAAUGAAGGAAGGGGAUGAAUGGAAAACAGCCUUUAAAACAAAAUUUGGAUUGUAUGAAUGGUUAGUUAUGCCUUUCGGCCUUACUAAUGCACCUAGUACAUUUAUGAGAUUAAUGAAUCAUGUUUUGAGGCUACAUUUGGGUAAAUUUGUAGUAGUUUACUUUGAUGAUAUUUUAAUUUACUCAAAGUCAUUAGAUGAUCAUGUUUUCCAUGUUCGAACCGUUUUGGAUCUUCUACGAAUUGAAAGAUUAUUUGCCAACCUUGAUAAAUGCACAUUCUGUUGUGAUAAACUAAUAUUCUUAGGUUUCAUAGUUAGUGCUCAAGGUAUUCAUGUCGACGAGGACAAAGUUAAGGCAAUUAAGGAGUGGCCGACUCCUAAAUCGGUAACUGAGGUGAGAUCUUUCCAUGGUUUAGCCAGUUUUUAUAGACGAUUUGUGAAAGAUUUCUCUACUAUUGCUGCCCCAUUGACUGAAGUUAUAAAGAAAUCAGUGGGUUUCAAAUGGGGUGAAACCCAAGAAAAGGCCUUUCAAACUCUAAAAGCUAAGUUAUGUUCUGUUCUUUUGCUUAAAUUACCUGAUUUUGCUAAAACUUUUGAACUUGAGUGUGAUGCUUCAAGAAUUGGAAUUGGCGCUGUUUUAAUGCAAGAUAAGCAACCUAUUGCUUAUUUUAGUGAGAAAUUGAAUGGUGCACAGUUCAACUACUCGACUUAUGACAAAGAACUAUUAGCAUUAGUUCGUGCACUUCAAGUAUGGCAACAUUAUUUGCUGCCUAAUGAGUUUGUCAUACACACAGAUCACGAAUCUCUUAAAUGGUUAAAGGGACAAGGUAAGUUGAGUAAAAGACAUGUUCGAUGGGUAGAAUUCAUUGAAACAUUCCCUUAUGUGAUACAAUAUAAAACAAGUAAAGAUAAUGUAGUUGCAGAUGCUUUGUCUAGACGAUAUACUUUAAUAACUACAUUGAAUGCUAAAGUCUUAGGGUUCGAACAUAUUAAGGAACUAUAUGAUGAUGAUGCUAAUUUCGGCCAUAUCUAUAAGAAUUGUGGACAUACUGCUUUCGAUAAAUUUUAUCUUGUAGAUGGCUUUCUUUUUCGUAUGAACAGGUUAUGCAUACCAAAGUGUUCCAUGAGAGACUUAUUGAUUCAUGAGGCCCAUAGUGGAGGUUUAAUGGGACAUUUUGGAGUGGCCAAAACACUGGAUAUUUUGCAAGAACACUUCCAUUGGCCACAUAUGAAAAAGGAUGUCGAAAAGGUAUGUUCCAAGUGCAUUACAUGCAAACAAGCAAAAUCUAAGGUAAUGCCUCAUGGCCUUUACACUCCUUUACCGAUUCCUACUUCACCUUGGGUAGAUUUAUCCAUGGACUUUAUUCUAGGUUUGCCUCGAAAUAAGAAAGGAAGAGAUAGUAUAUUUGUUGUUGUUGACAGGUUCUCAAAGAUGGCACAUUUUAUUUCUUGUCACAAAACAGAUGAUGCUACACAUGUAGCAGACUUAUUCUUUAAAGAGGUAGUAAGACUUCAUGGCAUCCCUAAAACAAUUGUUUCUGACAGAGAUGUCAAAUUUCUUAGCCACUUUUGGAAGGUAUUGUGGGGUAAGUUUGGUACUAAAUUACUUUAUUCCACUACAUGUCACCCCCAAACUGAUGGCCAAACCGAAGUAGUUAAUCGGAUCUUAGGGACUUUAUUACGAUCUGUUGUGGGAAAGAACAUUAGAAAUUGGGAAGAAUGCCUACCGUUUGUUGAAUUUGCAUAUAAUAGAUCUAUUCAUUCUACAACUGGUUAUUCUCCAUUUGAACUUGUUUAUGGUUUUAACCCACUAACAGUACUUGAUCUUGCGCCAUUACCACUUGAACACAUUGUUAAUUUAGAUGGUGAACAGAAAGCUGAGUUGGUGAAAUCCUUACAUGAGCAGGCUAGGCAACGAAUAGCCAAAACAUAUGAUGUCAACACCAACAAAGCAAACAAGGGGCGCAAACGGGUUGUCCUAGAACCCGGAGAUUGGGUUUGGGUCCAUAUGAGGAAAGAACGAUUUCCUGCAAGAAGAAAGACCAAGUUGGACCCAAGGGGCGAUGGGCCUUUCCAAGUACUCGAGAGGAUCAACGAUAAUGCCUAUAAAAUUGAUCUACCGGGUGAGUACAAUGUAAGUUCUACUUUUAAUGUGGCUGACUUGUCCCCAUUUGAUUUUUCAGAUUCGAGGUCGAAUCUUUUUGAGGAAGGGGGAAUGAUACGAGAUCAAAGGCCCGACAAAUGCGUUCCAAACUAAAUGGGACCAUCCAGGAGUUUGUUAGUAAGGCCUUAGAUGCGUACACAAAAGAAAGGAAAAAUCAAGAUUUCAAAUAUUGGGAAUCUUGGUCCAAGACACCAAAUCUUGCAGCCAAAGCGCAUUGGAUCUCCAUUACGAGCAUCAACGAUUCAAUUUCGGUAGGAGAUGGAUCACAAGCCCAAAUUCUUGAGGGUAAGGCCCAAUAAGAAGAUUCCAAGCCCAAUCAAGAAAUCCACCCAUACUUAGUUGAAAAUCAGGCCAAAUUGUCAAAGUGGCCCAAGUUGUAAAGUUUUAUUUUUAUUUAUUUAUUUAUUUAUUUUAUUUAGUUUAAAUUUUUAUAUUCAGUCCAAGAGUCCCAAAUAAAAGACCCUUGGCCGAAUUUCCAUAUUAAAAUAAUUAGGAGUUUUUUUUAGUUUUAGUUUUAGUGUUCUAAUUAAAUUAGGAAAACAUUUGAAAGGCCUAUUUAUAUGGCUUGGCCAGCCACCCUACAUUACAUUACAAUUACAUUGAAAAUUUCAGAUUUGAUUUGAGUGAAAAUUCUCUUUGAGUUCUUCAAGGAUUUUCUCUUGAGUUUUCUUUAGAAGUUGUUUUAACAAUCUUUUUGAUUGUGGGAGCCAUCUUCAACCUUCUUCUUGCCAUUGAUAUUCUUUGGAGGGGAGAUUAGAGCCGUUUGAAGGGAGUUGUGAGAUCUUUCAGGAUUUCAAGGCUUCUUAGGACUUAUCUUUUAAUUUCUUACUGUCAAUUCUUUCUUUAUUUCUGCUUGUGCCGAAUCUUUAUCUAAUUUAUUUUCUGUUCUUAUUGUGUUUUCAGCUUUUUUCUAUCUUAAGGAAUUAGCCCAAAAAUCCCUAAUUUUUAGGGUUCUUGCCGAUUCAUCCAUACUCUUUUUGGGAGAAAUUAGAUUGCCGAAAUUUGGGGAAAACUAUCUGGGUGUUCAAUUGGGCAGAAUCGCAAUCUCUUCUAGGGUUUCAAGAUUCCUUAUUAACACUUAUUUCUAUUCUCAAUUUGAUUCUUUGCUGAUUUGGGGAUUUUAUUUCAGAUCUGAAAAUUCAAAAAUCUAAUCUUUUAAUUUUCUGUUUCGUUUCAGAUCUAAUUGUUUAGGAUUUUCGUAGGAGUUUCUCGUGACUUGGCAACUCGAUCUUGGUCCGCGCGCAACCCCGUAUCAGAACCUUUCAUGUUUUGUAUAUUAUUUUUCUUUCAUUUUGUAUGUAUAUUGUCAACUUAAAAUAAAUGUAUUGUUUUGCAUGCUAUUCAAUUCAAAAUCAUUUGUAAUAAUUAUUUAUAUAGUGUUUUUAUCCAUGUAAAUUAUUUCAAAUUCGAGCAUGUAGUAUUCGUUCAUCAGUUCAUCACCCUUGUAAUUGUUUUGUAUCUUAUUGGUUUUAUCUUGUUUGAUAUAUUAUGUGGUAAUUGUUUUAUGUUAUUUCAUGUAUAUUGGUUGCACAUUAUUAAUUCGCCUUCUUACGUAUUAUUAUAUCAUUUGUUGUUCACCCAUGCUUGUAAAUUUUGUUAUUGUAAAUUAGUUGUUUGUUUGAUUUGAUGGGCUAAAUAAGAUUAUGUUAUCUUCAUUUACCAAAUUUUGUAUUUUAUGUGUAUAUGUCAUUUCGUGAUCAUUGUUUUCCUUUUGAUUUAUGAAAUGUUGCUUUAUAACUUCCAAUUCUUUGAAACUAAGUUUUUUUGAUUUAUUUCAAGUAAAAUUAAUGCGUUUUAAGCUAGUUUCACAAUUUCCUUUAAAACGAAGGCGAUAUUCGAUACUUGGUAAUUCGUGGAAUCGUGCCCUAAUGUGUUAGGUUGCAAUUCCUCGUUUGCUCAAAGUAAUCGAAGGUCCCUUUAGAAUUUCACCCACGGCUAUUAAAAAAUCCCUUAAACGAAGGUCAUAUGCGAUAUUUGGGAAUUCACGGAAUCGUACCCUAACGUGCUGGGUUGCAAUUUCUUGUCUGCUUAAAACAAUCAAAUAUCCCUUUAAAAUUUCACUCAUAUCUUUUAAAAAUCCUUUAAAACGAAGGCAAUACUCGGGGUUUGACAAUUCGGGAAUCAUGCCCUAUCGUGUUGGGUUGUGAUUUCUUAUUUGUUCAAAACAAUUGAAUAUUCCUUUAGGUUUUUUACUCAUGUUUAUUAAAAACCUUUCAAAACGAAGGCGACUCUAGAUGUUUGGCAAUUUGAGAAUUGUGCCCUAUCGUGCUGAGUUGCACUUUUUCAUUUGUUCAAGGCAAUCGAAGAUUCCUUCGGAAUUUCACUCUUAUUUUUUAAGGCGAGGUAAUGUUAAAUGUUUGAAAAUUCGAGGAAUCAUGCCCUACUGUGCUAUGUUUCAGUUUUUCGUGGGACCAAAUAGUUGGGCAUCCCUUUUGUAAUUUUUGAAUUAUAAACUUCUGAAAGUCGAAACAAGAAGAUUUUUGGCAACUCACUUGGGUUACUCAAAAAGAACCACAUUUCAAAAAUAUUUUUAAUUUUAGACAUAAGGACAGUAUUUAAUCGAUUUGGUACCAAUUUUGGGUGUAAUGAGGGUGCUAAUCCUUCCUCAUACGUAACCGACUCCCAAGCCUAUUUUCUCAUAUUCUCGUAGACCAGAAUCGUUGUUUUAAUAAACCAAAAAUGUUUUAUUAAAAUAACCAAAUUCUUAGGUGACCUGAUCACACCAAAACAAAAGGAUCGGUGACGACUCCAUGUAUUUGUUUUUCAAAAGUUGAUUCCCUCGUAUUUUCAUUAAAUUUAAAAAUUUUAAAAAUUUGAAAAAAGGGAUGGUUUCGACACACACAUAUUCUUUGGGAGGCUCGAUCACUCAAGGAACACCCGUCCGGGCUAGAUCCUUUCUAUACUUGAGAUCAACGGAUUACCCGUCUAGGCUAAAUCCUUUUCUACAACACAUGCAGGAUCUCAAGUCAUGUAAGCCAUGAUUUAUCCAUCGAAUUCCCUUUUUGACUUCAACUGGGACAUUUAUUAUCAUAUCAUUAUUAUUAACACAUUUCAUAGAUUUUCAUGCCAUCACUAUAACCAAUUAUCAUACAUUCAUAAAACAUGCAAUUAGACAUAUUAAUAGUUUACUUAAAGUUAUUUGAACUUACCUGGUAUCCAUUUGGAUUUUGCGUCUCGGUUAUUCUGAAACCUUUCGUUUUCCUCGAUCGACCUUCAGAAUUUGUUCCUCAGGGUCUAUAACAAUAAAAAUGAAUCAUUAAUACCUCAAAUUAUUCUUUUUGAGUUUAAAUUUCACCCCUAGACAAAAUGACCGUUUUGCCCCUAGCCUUUCACAUUGUUUAUGAUUUAGUCCCUAGGCUCGUAUGAUGAAAUGCAUGAAUUUUCUACAUUACCCAAGUCUAGCCGAAUGUUCUUUCCUCUUAUGGUAGCCCACAUUCUUCCAUUAUUUCACAUUUCUACCACAUAUUUUACACCUUUUGCAAAAAUGUCAUUUUAGGGGUUUUUCAUGAAAAUCACCUAGAAAAAGAUAUUUAACACACAUCCAACUUUCAUAUUCCUCCAUAAAACAUCAAAGAAUAAACAUGUCAGACAUGGGUCACUUUGAAAACAUGAACCCUAACUCAAAAUAUAGGUAGAAAUGGAGAAAGUUAUCGGGAUUUCAAAAAUACGAAGAACAUUAAAAACGAGGCUUGAGAGCACUUACUAUUGAGCUUGAAAAUGUUGAAAACCCUAGCUAUGAAGGGCUUGAGAAAUUCGGCUAGGUGAGGGAGAAGAAUGGCUGAUUUUUGCCUUCAUUUUCCAAUUUUAUUUCAUUAAUUAGCCAAAUGACCAAAAUGCCCUUAAGCCAUUUCUUUAAAAUUUUAUCCAUACAAGCUCAUUUUUGUCCAAAAACUUAGAAAUUGGGAAAAUUUCUCUUUAAGGACUUCUAAUUAAUAAUCUAAAGCAAUUUCAUGCAAAUUGCUUCUAGAAUCCAAGUUUUGACUUUAUUUAAUUUGGUCCUUAUUUUCCAAUUAGACACCUUGCUCAUAGGAUUUCUUCAUGAAACUUAACACAUGCAUAUUUUCAUAUUCUAUACCUCAUAAUAAUCAUAAAAAAAUAUUUCAACAUCGAAUUUGUGGUCCCGAAACCACUGUUCUGACUGGGCCCUAUUUUAGGAUGUUACAUAAAGCAUAUGACAGAGUGGAGCGAUUUUAUCUGAAAAAAGUCAUGCAAAAAAUAGGUUUUGUAGAGUCCUUCAUAUCGUUAAUCAUGAGAUGUGUAAAGAAGAAUAUUUAUUUGGUUUGUCUGAAUGGGAUGAUAGGCGAAAGUUUUAGACCAAUGACAGGUUUGCGACAAGGUGAUCCUUUGAGCCCAUAUCUUUUUUUAAUAUGUAGCGAAGGCUUGUCAUCUUUGAUAAGACUUGCAGCUAGGGAAGCCUCUUUAAAGGGAGCAAAGGUUUUUCGAAAAGGACCCUCAAUUACACAUUUAUUGUUUACAGAUGACCGCAUUCUUUUUGGGGACGCAUCAGUUAGAAGAACUAAUAAUCUCAAAGGUGUUUUAUGAGAGUAUGAAGUAUGCUCAGGACAAUGUAUUAACUUCAAAAAGUCAAUAGCAUAUUUUAGUACAAAUGUCUCUAAGAAAAUUCUAGAACAGGUUGCUAGCAUACUGGAAGUUCAAACCUCCAACAACCCAGAAAAAUAUCUAGGAUUACCAAAUAUGGUUGGAAGGGAUAAGAAAAGAUCUUUCCAAAUUUUAAAAGACAGGAUGAUUAGUAAGGUUAGAGGGUAGAGCACAAGAUUUUUGUCGAUAGGGGGGAAGAAGGUUUCCAUAAAAACAGUACUGCAAGCCAUUCCAACCUACACUAUAUUGUGUUUUUUAUUACCAAAUUCAUUGUGAAAGAAUUAGAAAAUAUAAUAAGCCAAUUUUGGUGGCAAAAAAAUCAUGAAAAACGUGGCAUCCACUGGUGCGAAUGGAGUAAGCUGGGUAAGUUAAAAGAGGAUGGGGGAAUGUGAUUUCGAUGUCUUUCAAAUUUUAACGUGGCUAUUCUUGCUAAAUGAAGUUGGCGUUUGAUUUAUUAUCCAAAUUCAUUAUUAGCCAAAUCUUUAAAAGCUAAAUACUACCCAAACUCAGAUUUUAUGCAUGCACGAUUAGGGAGUUUACCAUCAUAUACCUGGCAAAGCCUUUGGUCCGCAAAAGGACUUCUUGAAACAGGAAUGGGCUAACGAGUUGGGUCGGGAACUCAAAUUCAAAUCUGGAAUGAUGCAUGGAUUCAAGGCUUGGCUGACUACAAGAUUCAAUUUCCAUAAAGCACCCAAAGUCUUGUGUUAGUUUUUGAACUCAUUGAACAAAAAUCAAAUCAGAGGAAGAAAGAGUUAAUUCAAUAUACCUUCUACCAAGAUGACGCAACAAGGAUUCUUUGCAUCCCUCUCUCACUUGAAAAAGAAGUGGAUAAAAUUAUAUUGCACGAAGAAGCCUCAGGAGGUUACACAGUACGGAACGGGUAUAAAAAUUUAAUACAAUCAGAAUUAUCAACAAAUUUACAGAAAAACCAAAUUAUUUACAAACCCAUGUAUAAAUAACUUUGAAAGAUAAACUUGCCAUCCAAAAUAAAAAUUUUAGUAUGGAAGUCGUUAAAGAACUUCCUUCCUACUUUUUCUAAUCUGGUUCAAUGAAAGAUAAGAGACUCUGCGACUUGCCCAAGAUGUAGUAAUAUUGAAGAAACCAGAGAGCAUUUUUUCGGGAUUGUUUCUUUGCAACAGAAGUUUGGACAAGGCUAGGAAUUGGAUGGCCACUGGAACAAAAUCAGACACAAUUUUAGAAUUGGAUGCAUUAUUUAUUUGACAAAAAAUCAAAAAGUCAGAUAAGAAGCAUUGCAUGUGGUAUAUGGGGCUUAUUGUCUGCAAGAAAUAGGCUACUUCAUGAAAAUAAGGCACAAACAGAAGAGAAAGUUGCCCAAUUUAUUUUAGACUACAUAUAGGAAAUCGAAAGGGUAAAUAGGAAAAUACCUCUCAACACAACUGCUAAUGAAAACUAGAAGCCACCAAACGGUUUGAAUGUCAAAAUCAAUUUUGACGCUGCAUUUGAAAGACAGAAUUUUAGAUUGUGUACAAGAAUCGUUAUAAGGAAUGUUUUGGGUCAACUAUUAAAAACUAAAAUUUACAGAAACGAACAUAUACCAACAACAUUUGCAGCAGAAGCUCUCGCCUGCGUCCAGGCAAUACGUUUUGGGGCAGAAUCUGGUUUCUUACAAGUUGAAGUCGAGGGUGAUGCGUUAACUGCCAUCAAGAAAUUAAAAGGUCAGGAGGAGGAUGGAUUAGAAAUUAGAGCAUACAUUCUUGAUGCAAAACGAUUAUACAGUAAUUUUGUUACUAGUGAUUUUCAACAUGCAAGGAGACAAACGAAUAAAGUAGCUCACCUAUUAGCACAAGAAGGCUUAAGGGAAAGUGAAAAUACAUAUCUUAGGUCUGGCUUCUCCAGUGCGGUUGCAAGAGCUGUUGAAACUGAUAGGCCAAUAAUCAAUUAAAGCAUAUUUCUUUGACAGAAUCUGAAGACAAAAGGGGAAAUGGCUAUCUACAAAAGGGGAAAUGGGACAAAAGGGGAAAUGGCUAUCUACAAAAGGGGAAAUGGCUAUCUCUAUUUGAAAAAUAGGGAUUAGUUUGGGAAUUUUAAAAGAAAUAUAUGGAUGUCAAUAAUGGAAAGGUGUUUCGGGUAAUGCGUCAAUCCUAUUGAAGAAUGACCAAAAUAGUGAGAAAACUCACUAAUCAUGGAAAUACUUUACCAAGAGAGGAGAAGCUAAGAUUCAUGGCGGUUUACUAAAGAAACAUUGAAAAUAAAAAUGUGAAAGAAGAAGGGAAACCAUCUGAAAUGAAGAUUGGCUACGGUGACUGAUUUAGGGUUUCUUGAAAUGUUAUUUCGUUUAGGCAUUAGUAUUUUUUAG
rnacentral:lncRNA from 1 species